GCGGAGGGAUCAUUACAGAGUUUUCUAAACUCCCAAACCCAUGUGAAUCUUACCUUCUGUUGCCUCGGCGUAUGAGCUACCUGGCACUGCCUACCCGGCAGUCUAGGGCGCCCCCAGCGCCGGUGGCCUACUAAACUCUGUUUAUUUUGUAAUUCUGAAUUAUAAACUUAAUAAGUUAAAACUUUCAACAACGGAUCUCUUGGUUCUGGCAUCGAUGAAGAACGCAGCGAAAUGCGAUAAGUAAUGUGAAUUGCAGAAUUCAGUGAAUCAUCGAAUCUUUGAACGCACAUUGCGCCCAUUAGUAUUCUAGUGGGCAUGCCUGUUCGAGCGUCAUUUCAACCCUUAAGCCCUGUUGCUUAGCGUUGGGAGCCUACGGCCCAGCCUGUAGCUCCUCAAAGUUAGUGGCGGAGUUCGUACCAACUCUAGGCGUAGUAAUUCUAUCUCGCCUCUGCAGUGGUUCGGCCCCCUGCCGUAAAACACCCAACUUUAUACUGGU
rnacentral:rRNA from 1 species